AACGAACGCUGGCGGCAGGCCUAACACAUGCAAGUCGAACGAUAAGCCACCUUCGGGUGGUGGACAGUGGCAGACGGGUGAGUAACGCGUGGGAACGUGCCUUUCGGUUCGGAAUAACCCAGGGAAACUUGGGCUAAUACCGGAUACGCCCUUCGGGGGAAAGAUUCAUUGCCGAAAGAUCGGCCCGCGUCGGAUUAGCUAGUUGGUGGGGUAAUGGCUCACCAAGGCGACGACGGGUAGGGGGCCUGAGAGGGUGACCCCCCACAUUGGCACUGAAACACGGGCCAAACACCUACGGGAGGCAG
rnacentral:rRNA from 1 species